GACGAACGCUGGCGGCGUGCCUAAUACAUGCAAGUCGAGCGGACCUCAUAGGAAGCUUGCUUUUUAUGAGGUUAGCGGCGGACGGGUGAGUAACACGUGGGUAACCUGCCCUAUAGACCGGGAUAACUCGCGGAAACGCGUGCUAAUACCGGAUAACACAGCGGAGCGCAUGCUCUGGUGUUGGAAGGUGGUUCUGCUACCGCUAUAGGAUGGGCCCGCGGCGCAUUAGCUAGUUGGUGGGGUAACGGCCUACCAAGGCGACGAUGCGUAGCCGACCUGAGAGGGUGAUCGGCCACACUGGGACUGAGACACGGCCCAGACUCCUACGGGAGGCAGCAGUAGGGAAUCUUCCACAAUGGGCGAAAGCCUGAUGGAGCAACGCCGCGUGAGCGAAGAAGGUCUUCGGAUCGUAAAGCUCUGUUGUAAGGGAAGAACAAGUGCGGUAGUAACUGACCGCACCCUGACGGUACCUUACGAGAAAGCCACGGCUAACUAC
rnacentral:rRNA from 1 species